GGGAUUGACUGGGUAAACGAGAACUGCUAAUUACUCGCCCC
rnacentral:tRNA from 2 species